AACGAACGCUGGCGGCAGGCUUAACACAUGCAAGUCGAACGCCCCGCAAGGGGAGUGGCAGACGGGUGAGUAACGCGUGGGAAUCUACCCAGUUCUACGGAACAACUGAGGGAAACUUCAGCUAAUACCGUAUACGCCCUACGGGGGAAAGAUUUAUCGGAAUUGGAUGAGCCCGCGUUGGAUUAGCUAGUUGGUGAGGUAACGGCUCACCAAGGCGACGAUCCAUAGCUGGUCUGAGAGGAUGAUCAGCCACACUGGGACUGAGACACGGCCCAGACUCCUACGGGAUGCAGCAGUGGGGAAUAUGGGACAAUGGGCGCAAGCCUUAUCCAGCCAUGCCGCGUGAGUGAUGAAGGCCUUAGGGUUGUAAAGCUCUUUCAGUGGGGACGAUAAUGACGGUACCCACAGAAGAAGCCCCGGCUAACUUCGUGCCAGCAGCCGCAGUAACAC
rnacentral:rRNA from 1 species